rnacentral:rRNA from 1 species
ACGGAGGAUCCAAGCGUUAUCCGGAUUUAUUGGGUUUAAAGGGAGCGUAGAUGGAUGUUUAAGUCAGUUGUGAAAGUUUGCGGCUCAACCGUAAAAUUGCAGUUGAUACUGGAUAUCUUGAGUGCAGUUGAGGCAGGCGGAAUUCGUGGUGUAGCGGUGAAAUGCUUAGAUAUCACGAAGAACUCCGAUUGCGAAGGCAGCCUGCUAAGCUGCAACUGACAUUGAGGCUCGAAAGUGUGGGUAUCAAACAG